rnacentral:tRNA from 1 species
GAGGGUAUAGCUCAGUGGUAGAGCACACGCUUAGCAUGCAUGAGGUCCUGGGUUCAAUCCCCAGGACCUCCA